GCAGACUCGGCAACAGCUAAUUUGGAAGCAGACGCUGAGUGACUGAGCUCCAGAGUGAUUUGUGUGUUUUGAGCAAUAAACCUGAGUUAAAUACUGCCAGAGUUGUCUCGCUUCUGCGGGAGAGACCCAACCAUUACAUGAACCCUCCCAGCUCUCACUUGGGAGCUUCUCUAUCUUCUCCCAGACUCUCACCCUGCAGGUCUUCUUCCCUGCCCAGAAAAGUAGUUUCUGAAAUGAGGUGCAUUACGUUCACAGCCCGAGUGGACUAGGAACAGGGCCUAGAAACUUCAUUUCUUAAUCCUGAAGGUGUGAGGAAAUACUGUGGUUAGUCAGUGGGGUAGGAAAGGGCAAACUGUUGCUGUUGGAAGACAGUGUGCAUUUUUUGGUGUUAGUCAGAUGGGCAGCAUAUAAAUAAUAAAAUUAUUAUUAUUAUACCGAUCUCUUGGGUGAUAAUCCUUAUUGCCUGCAACACAAUUCUACAGAUGUUUCUGAUAAGCAACUUUAUCAUAGUUUCUUUUAAAUUUUCCAUGUAAUCACCGAUGCCAAAAGCGAAAUGACUAGACUUAAUUGAUUUCUAUAUCGUAGCCUCUAUUUCAAUAACCAUGAAGUUCUCCAUUGUAGUAUUAAUAUAUCCUCAGGGGUUUUCUUCUCCAUCCAGUGCAAAAUCUCCAGAGAAGUAGAUAUUAGAUGUUCUUCUGACAAAUAAUCAAUGUCUGUUUUAUCCUUAGAAAGGCAUAGUUUUACCAUGAAAUGCUUGCUGCCUCAUAAUAGGCAUAUAAAUAGGGCAGCGUUAAUCCUCCUCCUCAAGGCUGUACCUGCACUGCUAGAUGCUUUGCCAAAAAUAGUCUGUCUGCCAUGCCAAGCCAAGCAGAGCACAAUUCUUUAUUAUAUAACUCUGCUUAGUCUUGGUGCUGGACAGAGUUUGGGGAGCAGAACCCUAGUUUAAGAUGCACUGGCCUUGAUGACAUACUGAUUUGCGAUUCAGUUGUCCUCUGUGAACUGGGGGCUGAAGACAAAGGAGGGAAGGAGGGACAGAAGAGUAGCUAGCAUUGUCCCAGAACCACUGGAGUCUGGAUACUUUUUCUAGAUUGGGCAAGAGAACUCGAGGGAGGGAUAUAUUUCAGCCACUCCUCCUUGCUUCUGCAAGUCCUAAUACAGAAAAGUGAGCACCCUUUGUUAUACAAGGUGUGACCAGAAAGUAGGGUGAAUUGCCCCAGUAUGCAAUAAAGGGAAUUUCCAGAUCCGCAGAGACACGUGGGAGGUGUUUGUCCGUAUUUCAUCUAACAUAUGUGCACGUUUUCCAGCAUUGGUUGUCAGGCCUAAGUUCAUGUUCAUGUGAAUGAGACAGGAUAGGAUAGCUCCAGCUUCCAAAGUUUUCAAACCCAAGGGCUAUAAGCUUCUACCAGGAAGAAGGAAGAAACUAAAAUCCAGUGCCAGUCAAUUCAAUUCAGUUUAAUCUAAUCUAAUCUCAUGAGAAGAGAAGACUCCCUGGAAAAGACCCUGAUGUUGGGAAAGAUUGAGGACACAAGGAGAAGGGGACGACAGAGGAUGAGCUGGUUGAACAGCGUUCUCAAAGCUACCAGCAUGAAUUUGACCAAACUGCGGGAGGCAGUGGAAGACAGGAGUGCCUGGUGUGCUCUGCUCCAUGGGGUCACGAAGAGUUGGACACGACUAAACGACUAAACAACAACAACAUUCCUUCAUUGCUUUAUUUAUUUGAGGUAUCUGUAGCCUGCCCUUCACUCAAGGGUCCCAGAGCAGAAACCAACUACAUUAGAAUCCUAAUUAAUAAUACCGUAUUAAAACCAAAUAAAUAAAUCAGCACCAUAAAAAAUGCAGUCCUAUAUUCACUUACUUGGGAUCAAGUCACUAUUGUACUCCAUAGACCUUAUGUAUAAGUAGGCAUGCACAGGUUAACCGCUUACCCUAGUAAAUUCUGGUUAAUCCCCUAUCCUAGGGAAUUAUGGGAAAUGCAGUACCUAUUGUUUCCCCUAGGUGAACAGUGAGUGGUAAGCCAAGUACAAACCCUGGUUGCAGCUCAUGGUUUGUAUGGAGGGGUGCAAGGCUAAGCCCAACCAUGGUUGAGCCGCAGGCAGCAUGGAGGUGAAGAGCAGUGGCUGUGAUCUUCACGAUGGGAGUCUGCAGGCCUGUUUGUUCAGCUUAGUAUUACAUAUGAACCAGGUCAUGCCUAGAUAAAACCCAUUUAAGACUUCCUUUCUAUGCGUUAUCUUUUUCAUGUUUUAAAGAAGAGCAUAGCACUCUGUUUUAGGCAAAUGGUAUUGAAACAGCAUCCGCUGCCAUGUGAAGCCACAAGGGGGAUCCCACUGCAUAGAGCUGAAUACAAAUGAGGGUUUUGAAUGUUGCAGUCAAAAUGUGAAUGGGGAGGCGGGGUGGGAUUCAGCCAUCAGCCCCACUUUUUAUGCCAAAUUUACUGCUUUCCCCAAUUGACCAGUAUUAGUGGGAUCAACUCAGUCUAGGGGCUUAAAUAAAAUAAUUUUCAGCUGUGUGUUCCCUUCCCUGGGAGGUUAUUACACAGUUUGAAAGAAGGCUGUUCAAUUGAAUUGUCAGGGGAAAAAUCACAUAAACUGUUUAUUUUCCUUGAAAUCUUCCAAACUUAACUGAUCAGCAGAGACAGAGAAUGAAAUUCAAUUCCAGAAAUUGCACCUUGCCUGCUCUGCAUGAGAAGCAACAAAAAGAAAGAUAAACUUUUGAAGAUAAAAUUGUUCUGUUCAGUAGCUAACAUAUAUAUUUUUAAAAUAUAUAAAAAGUCACAUAUUGCAAAACCAUUUUGGCAACUCAAGGUCCGGAGAGAAGUCUUAAAAGGGGGGGGGAGACCCCAGACCAGUGAGAUUGUCUAGAAACAACUCAAAUAAACAGGCCACAGUCUAUUCCACUUAAAUUGUUCAAUAGGCC